CGUUUCUUAGAUGCAUUAUAUACAAACGAAGUUUGUUUUAUGUCAAUUUCUGUGGAAUUUUUCGCCAUAGCAAUGAAGUUUUUGGUUGUAGUGCUGUGUGUACUAUGCAAAUCUGUGUGGAUUUUAGGCGUGGAUAGUGAAGAUGAUAAAUCAACAUCAAACAAUUCCUGCCGUUUUUGGGGUAUAUUACCAAUCCCGAUCGGAUCAUGUAAAAACUCCUGCAUCAUCCCACUUCCAUUUAUUGGAAAAUGCGACCCUGCAAGUUUUAAUUGUUGCAUCUACUGAGAGGAAGUAACUUUUUAUGAAGCAGUACUGUAGUGGAGGUAACAGUCUGAAUAAAUUUAUUGCACUGCGUG